GACGAACGCUGGCGGCGUGCCUAAUACAUGCAAGUUGAGCGCUGAAGGUUGGUACUUGUACCAACUGGAUGAGCAGCGAACGGGUGAGUAACGCGUGGGGAAUCUGCCUUUGAGCGGGGGACAACAUUUGGAAACGAAUGCUAAUACCGCAUAAAAACUUUAAACACAAGUUUUAAGUUUGAAAGAUGCAAUUGCAUCACUCAAAGAUGAUCCCGCGUUGUAUUAGCUAGUUGGUGAGGUAAAGGCUCACCAAGGCGAUGAUACAUAGCCGACCUGAGAGGGUUGUCGGCCACAUUGGGACUGAGACACGGCCCAAACUCCUACGGGAGGCAGCAGUAGGGAAUCUUCGGCAAUGGACGAAAGUCUGACCGAGCAACGCCGCGUGAGUGAAGAAGGUUUUCGGAUCGUAAAACUCUGUUGGUAGAGAAGAACGUUGGUGAGAGUGGAAAGCUCAUCAAGUGACGGUAACUACCCAGAAAGGGACGGCUAACUACGUG
rnacentral:rRNA from 1 species